CGCAAUGGGCGAAAGUCUGACGGAGCGACGCCGCGUGAUGGAUGAAGUUCUUCGGGAUGUAAACAUCUUUUGUAGGGGAGGAAGUCUAUUGACGUUACCCUACGAAUAAGAGGUUGCUAAACUCGUGCCAGCAGCAGCGGUAAUACGAGUGCCUCAAGCGUUAUCCGGAAUCAUUGGGCGUAAAGGGUGUGUAGGUGGUCUUGUUAGUCUCGUGUUAAAUUCUUCGGCUUAACCGGGGGCAUGCACGGGAAACGGCAAGACUAGAGGAUGCAAGGGGUCUGCGGAACUCAUAGUGUAGCGGUGAAAUGCGUUGAUAUUAUGGGGAACCCCAAAAGCGAAGGCAGCAGACUGGGGCCCUCCCCGCUCUUUGAAACCAGGCAACA
rnacentral:rRNA from 1 species